GCUACCCAUUCAAGACUGUUUCCACACUGUGGAAGCUUUGUACUUUCACUCUGCUCAAUAAAGCCUGCAGCUUUUUCUCACUCUCAGUCCAUGUCUCUUUCACUCACUGUGGUCAGCUUCCACACCAUUUCUUUGGUGUGGCUUGGCAAGAACCUCAGGUGUUACAUCUUGGCGAGCCAGACAGGAGACUCCAGAAAAGGGGUGAUUUUCCUGUACCAGUCCAAUGCCUCCAGAGGAAGAUCAUACAUUUGCCAUUUUACUGCUUAGUACGCAUGCUUGAGCCUGCUCGCCCAACUGCUGAGAUCUUAUUCAGAAACUGCUGAUCACCAACUCCAGCGUCAAAUGCUGAGAACCCAGUGGAGGAGUCCAAGACCUUAGGGGAUUGUGGAGCCGCUUGUCCAACACACAGCCCAUGGGCCACAUGUGGCUCAGGAUUGCUUUGAAUGCAGCCCAACACAAAUUCACAAACUUUCUUAAAACAUUAUGAGUUUUUUUGUGAUUUUUUUUUUUAGUAGCUCAUAAGCUAUGGUUAGUGGUAGUGUAUUUUAUGUGUGUGUCCCAAGACAAUUCUUCUUCCAGUGUGGCACAGGGAAGCCAAAAGAUUGUACACCCAUGAAUUAGAAAGAACAAGCAUCAGGAACUGAUUAAAUCAUUAUACAACAUAGGUAUGCAUUAAAACACAGCAUAAAAUUUUUUGUGUACCAUAAAUAUAUACAAUUGCAAUGCAUCAAUUAAAAUGAAUAA
rnacentral:lncRNA from 1 species